CGCUAUCACUCCUACGGGGAGGCAGCAGUAGGGAAUCUUCCACAAUGGACGCAAGUCUGAUGGAGCAACGCCGCGUGAGUGAAGAAGGGUUUCGGCUCGUAAAGCUCUGUUGUUAAAGAAGAACGUGGGUGAGAGUAACUGUUCACCCAGUGACGGUAUUUAACCAGAAAGCCACGGCUAACUACGUGCCAGCAGCCGCGGUAAUACGUAGGUGGCAAGCGUUAUCCGGAUUUAUUGGGCGUAAAGCGAGCGCAGGCGGUCUUUUAAGUCUAAUGUGAAAGCCUUCGGCUCAACCCGAAGAAGUGCAUUGGAAACUGGGAGACUUGAGUGCAGAAGAGGACAGUGGAACUCCAUGUGUAGCGGUGAAAUGCGUAGAUAUAUGGAAGAACACCAGUGGCGAAGGCGGCUGUCUGGUCUGUAACUGACGCUGAGGCUCGAAAGCAUGGGUAGCGAACAGGAUUAGAUACCCUGGUAG
rnacentral:rRNA from 1 species